AAGGAAUAUUGGACAAUGGAGGCAACUCUGAUCCAGCCAUGCCGCGUGAAGGAAUAAGGCCCUAUGGGUUGUAAACUUUUUUUAGACGGGACAAAACCCCUUUACGUGUAAAGGGUUGAUGGUACUGUCAGAAUAAGCAUCGGCUAACUUCGUGCCAGCAGCCGCGGUAAUACGAAGGAUGCAAGCGUUAUCCGGAAUUAUUGGGUUUAAAGGGUGCGUAGGCGGACUAAUAAGUCAGUGGUGAAAGCCUGCAGCUUAACUGCAGAAUUGCCAUUGAUACUGUUAGUCUUGAGUACAGUUGAGGUAGGCGGAAUGUGUCAUGUAGCGGUGAAAUGCUUAGAUAUGACACAGAACACCGAUUGCGAAGGCAGCUUGCUAAGCUGUAACUGACGCUGAGGCACGAAAGCGUGGGGAGCAAACA
rnacentral:rRNA from 1 species